AUUUUUUCUCUUUUUAUAUUCUUCUCUUUCUUCUUUCCUCUUUUUUUUUUCUCUU
rnacentral:ribozyme from 1 species